CAUUUCUCCACAGUUUACUGCUUGCUUCAACAAAUGGGACAAAGACACUUCGCUGGAGAGCCAUCAGAGGACAGUUCAAGAAAAUGCCUAUCUUGACACACAGGAGACAAACACUGGAAAGAAGUGAGCCACCUGGAGAUGUGCCCUCUGGACGAGGAGGAGGCUUGUUAGCAAAAGUGAGAGCUUUGUUUAGGUAAAGAAAGGGAUCCAGCUGCAGAGAGAGGAAGCUGGUGCUGGUUAGUGCCUCUCAUGUGUAACCGCUCACCUAUAUCAUAUCUACUGCACACUGGGGCUUCUUCAAAGUCGACAUGCGCUAACGCACUAAAUCU